rnacentral:rRNA from 1 species
ACGACCGGCGCACGGGUGCGUAACGCGUAUACAAUCUACCUUGUAGAGGGGAAUAGCCCAGAGAAAUUUGGAUUAAUGCCCCAUAGUAUUAUUAGAUAGCAUUAUCUUAUAAUUAAACAUUUAUGGCUACAAGAUGAGUAUGCGUUCUAUUAGUUAGUAGGUAAGGUAACGGCUUACCUAGACUUCGAUAGAUAGGGGUCCUGAGAGGGAGAUCCCCCACACUGGUACUGAGACACGGACCAGACUCCUACGGGAGGCAGCAGUGAGGAAUAUUGGACAAUGGGCGAGAGCCUGAUCCAGCCAUGCCGCGUGCAGGAAGACGGCCCUAUGGGUUGUAAACUGCUUUUAUAGAGGAAGAAACACUCCUACGUGUAGGAGCUUGACGGUACUCUACGAAUAAGGAUCGGCUAACUCCGUGCCAGCAGCCGCGGUAAUACGGAGGAUCCAAGCGUUAUCCGGAAUCAUUGGGUUUAAAGGGUCCGUAGGC